rnacentral:rRNA from 1 species
UUUCCGCCGCCGACCCUCAACCGAGGGUGUCGGACGUCGCGACCCGUUCGCCCAGGUCGAUACUCAGGGACGCGUUUCAAGUUCGCCGGCGCGGUCGUCUCGGCGGCCGCGUCACGAUGGCGCGUUUCCGCUGUUCUCGACGCGGACGGUAGCUUUGCGCGCGGGUAAUCGACGCGGUCCUUUGUCCGGCGUCUCCGUACGUCGGACGGCGCUCGCGUCGACGCCGGUCAGCGACGAAUCUUCGGGCCUCUUUCCGACCCGUCUUGAAACACGGACCAAGGAGUCUAGCGUGCGCGCGAGUCGCGGGGUAUCCGAGUCGUCGUAGUCGUUUCGGCGGCGAACGCGACUCGUCACGAUACGAAACCCGUGUACGUACGUUGUGCGAAGGCGUAAUGAAAGUGAAAGGCGACGCUUCGCGCGUCGCCGGGGGAAGACGGUGUUCCGUGUACCACGUUUCGCGGUCAUACGUGUACCGCGGCCGGACACCCGCAUUCCCAGGGCGUCCCGCUCGUACGUCGGCCGUCGGGUCUCGGCUCGGCGGUCGGCGAACUGGGGCGCACCUACAGCGUGCACGCUGGUACCCGAAAGAUGGUGAACUAUGCCCGGCCAGGAUGAAG